rnacentral:rRNA from 1 species
UACGUAGGGUCCAAGCGUUAAUCGGAAUUACUGGGCGUAAAGCGUGCGCAGGCGGUUCGCAAAGACAGGUGUGAAAUCCCCGGGCUUAACCUGGGAACUGCGCUUGUAACUAGCGGGCUAGAGUACGGCAGAGGGGGGUGGAAUUCCACGUGUAGCAGUGAAAUGCGUAGAGAUGUGGAGGAACACCGAUGGCGAAGGCAGCCCCCUGGGCUAGUACUGACGCUCAUGCACAAAAGCGUGGGGAGCAAACGGG